rnacentral:rRNA from 1 species
UGUGUAGGCGGUUGUUUAAGUUCGGUGUGAAAUCUCCCGGCUCAACUGGGAGGGUGCGCCGAAUACUGAAUGACUUGGAGUGCGGGAGAGGAAAGUGGAAUUCCUGGUGUAGCGGUGAAAUGCGUAGAUAUCAGGAGGAACACCGGUGGUGUAGACGGCUUUCUGGACCGUAACUGACGCUGAGACACGAAAGCGUGGGUAGCAAACAGGAUUAGAUACCCUGGUAGUCCACGCCCUAAACGAUGCAUAUUUGGUGUGGGUCAUUCAGUUGAUCUGUGCCGGAGCUAACGCGUUAAAUAUGCCGCCUGGGGAGUACAGUCGCAAGGCUGAA